rnacentral:rRNA from 1 species
UACGUAGGGCGCAAGCGUUGUCCGGAAUUAUUGGGCGUAAAGAGCUCGUAGGCGGCUUGUCACGUCGGGUGUGAAAGCCCGGGGCUUAACCCCGGGUCUGCAUUCGAUACGGGCUAGCUAGAGUGUGGUAGGGGAGAUCGGAAUUCCUGGUGUAGCGGUGAAAUGCGUAGAUAUCUGGAGGAAUACCGGUGGCGAAGGCGGCAUCCUGGACCAUAACUGACGCUGAGGCGCGAAAGCUAGGGGAGCAAACGGG